ensembl:piRNA 21ur-2010 ncRNA
UAACUGAGUCUGAAUGUUAAU